AACCGGACGUAACUAAACAAGAUGAUGCCUAUCAACUGUUUAAAAGAUGGUUCUGCUAUCACUCUUGGAUGGACCUGCGGUGCAUUAGCUAGUUGGUAGGGUAACGGCCUACCAAGGCGAUGAUGCAUAGCCGAGUUGAGAGACUGAUCGGCCACAUCGGGACUGAGACACGGCCCAAACUCCUACGGGAGGCAGCAGAC
rnacentral:rRNA from 1 species